UACGAGGGGGGCAAGCGUUGUUCGGAAUUAUUGGGCGUAAAGGGCGCGUAGGCGGUGCGGUAAGUCACCUGUGAAAUCUCUGGGCUCAACUCAGAGUCUGCAGGCGAAACUGCCGUGCUGGAGUAUGGGAGAGGUGCGUGGAAUUCCCGGUGUAGCGGUGAAAUGCGCAGAUAUCAGGAAGAACACCCGUGGCGAAGGCGGCUCUCUGGGACGGUACUGACGCUGAGACGCGAAAGCGUGGGGAGCGAACAGG
rnacentral:rRNA from 1 species